UACGUAGGGGGCGAGCGUUAUCGGAUUUACUGGGCGUAAAGCGCGUUAAGGCGGUCGGUCAAAGUUGGUUGUGAAAUCUCAGGCUCAACCCUGAAAUUGCGACCAAUACUGGUCGACUAGAGUGGCAAGAAGAGGGAAGGUUGGAAUUCCCGGUGUAGUAGUGAAAUGCGUAGAUAUCGGGAGGAACACCAGUGGCGAAGGCGGCCUUCUGGCUUGUAACUGACGCUGUAGCGCGAAAGCGA
rnacentral:rRNA from 1 species